rnacentral:misc_RNA from 1 species
UGCGAGUACGCCGGCAGCGACCCAUCGACGAGGCUUCAAGUUCAGAGCCAUGCAGCAGGAUUCGCCCGAUGUGCCCGGCUUCCCGCUAGAACGAGCGCCGGUGUCCCCUUCCGGUCACGAGGACGAGUCUGCGACUCAGCUAGGGAUCGUGCAGGUGACGCCGGUUCCCUUGAGGCCGCAGUAGCCGUUCGGGACCUUGUGCAGGUACUGCUGGUGGUACUCCUCGGCGUAGUAAUAGGGACCGGCCGCGGCGAGCUCCGUGGUGACAGGCGGGAAGCCACGCUCC